UCCUGAGUGAUGGUGGUUCUAUAUUUCAGUUGUAAUUUUGGUGUGGUUGUGUGAAGAGGUGAGCCAUAUCUCCCUUAUGCCACUGUCUUGAUCAGAAGUUCCUUUUCUUUUAAACCAAUCCUUCACUUACACAUGUCCAUCUGCAUCAUUAUGUGGAGUGUCCUGAUUUUUCUUUUCAAAAGAUACCCUCACCUUCCAAAUUUUCCUUAAGAAAACCUCAGUCCCCUCUGCAUCUUCACUGACCUGCAUUUAGCCCAGACCGUCCCGUGCAGACUACACUUGACUGCCUCCAAACUUCUUUUUUCCUGCCCCACCUACUUUGUCAAGGGUUGUCCAGGAAACUCUUACAUUGAGUAGGAAAGUGAAUACACAACCAAAACACAAGGUUAAAAGCAACAAUGGCUUAUAUUGAAGUGUUAGAGAAUGCUAGGGAGUUUGGAGAAAGAAACAGUACUUCUAGCUGUUCAGAGGAGCGAGGAAGAAAGAUCGGGGGUGGCAUCUGAAGGCAAUGACAUUUGGCUGGGCCUUGAAGAAUGGUUAGGAUUUGGGUAAGUGGGAGUGCAAGGACGCUGAGCCUCAAGAGCCAGGACUGGUGCAGGAAUGGGACAGAGAGAAAGAGGGUGGAGACUAAUAUGAGUAAAGAUCAAUGGGUAGUUUUAAUACAGACCAGCUUUGAACUAUUUUGGAGGUGUUAAGAGUGAAGAUCUAUUGAACACUCUGGGGACCCAGGGUGUUCAAUGUCCACUUGAAGUAAGUGAAUUUGGGGUGGGGAGUGCCCACUUGAGAUGAGCAUUCAGGGGGAGUGGAAAACGCACUUGAGGGCAUCCCCACCAUGUUCCAACCCAAUAUUACCUCCCUGCUCCAUCCUCAUUGUAUUUGCAGAGAUAGUUUUGAUAGCUGCCCCACGCCCAAAAGGCCAGGGUUUUAUCUAUUUACUGUCAAGCUCCAGAUACCUAGGGAUGUGGUGGGUGCUCUGAGGACUUGUCAUUCUGCCACAGCUGUGACUUUGAAGAGUACUUGGCUAGUGGAAGACAGCUAUCCGGGGAGGCAGUAACUGAGGUCCUUCUGUGUUCAGCAAGAGGAAGAGUAACAGCAGCAAAUAGUUUUCACCCUACUUGAGCACAAGUGCAAUGACAGGUUGAGAAGAAAAACUGGAUGCCAGGGGGAACCCAGAUCUCCUUUGAAGGCUCUCCCUUCCCCAGCACAGCAUCUUCUGGGGCAGGUUGGGGUUGUCCCUGGUCCAGACUCCCCUACCCAAUGCUCUUUCCCUCACUGGAGGCAAGUUUUUGUUUUGGUGGUUCACUAGUGAGGCUUUGGAAUCUGACAGACCUGGGUUGGAAUGUGGGCUUGCUCAUUCAUUCAUUCGUCUAGGACCAAACUAUAUAAUUGGAGGGGGGCCCAUGCAAAAUGAAAAUGUGAAGCUCUGCAUUAAAAAAUUAUUAGGAAUUUCAGGACAGUAACAGCAGAACAUUAAACCAAAUGUAGCAUGUGACUGCACAGGUCACACACCCAGGAAGCCAGCCCUCAGCUGCAGUGGACAAGACUGCUGCGGGCCCUGGUCCUGGGAGUUUUAACUUUAAGUGCUGGGAGGCAGAUAACAACCAAGCAAACAUAUAGUAACAAUAGUACUAGUGUUGUCUGUGUAUGAAGUCAUACACUAAAUGAACAAAAUAGUUUCAGGUGUGAUAAGUGCCAGAGAGAGAUCAAGUUGGGGUACUGGGUCCACCACGACUGGGCUGGGAGUGGGGUCUGGGUAGCCUAGAGGGGCUUGUGUUUAAGAGAGAUCUGAGUCACCUAAGGGGCAAGGGUGGCUUUCAGGCAGAGGGGAAGCCAGUGUUGGGUGGGUGGGUUUAAUUGCUUCAAGCUUCAGUUCUUCAUCUUAAGAUGGAAUCAUAGUGAUAAAUUAACACUGAGUAUUUGCUGUGUGCCAGGCACUGUUCUAAAUGCCUUAUGCACAUUGACUCAUUUAGUCCUCACAGUGGCUCUCUGAGAUAAGUACCACUACUAUCCCCAUUUUACAGAAAUGGAAACUGAGGCACAGAGAUGAUAAGGAUUUACCAAGGUUACCUGCUCGUAAGUGGUAGAGCCUGGACUUGAUCCCCAGCUGACUGGCUUCAGAGUCCGUGCUUUUGCCUAUUUGAUGCAUCUUCUGGCCUUGAAGUGUUAUGGUUGUGAACUGUGUGCAUGAUGUGUUUCUGUACAUGUUGGAGUUUCCUGAGAGGCUCUACAGUCCUCUCUGGCUUGUUAUACCUAGCCUCCCUAUUCCCUGUGCCCCUGUGCCUCUGGGUGGUUGGAGCCAGAGUCUGUGCUCACUGGCUUGGGGGUCACCCAGUGCCAUUCUGGGCACAUUAAUAGGCAUUGCUUGGGAUGUGGCUUGGCCAGUGCCAUUCCCCAAGGUGUUGAUGACCAUCUUACCUCCCACCUGCCAGCUGUCACUCAUUCUACACCAAAUGAAGAUUGCAGCAGCCCUCACAGCUGCUUGAAAACCCCACCAGGGCCUCACCCCUGAGCCAUUUGGGAUGGGUAUUUGGGCUUUCUGGAGCUCUUUGCAGAUCACUCUUUGUAGAAUCUUUAUGUAAAGGAGGCACUGUUAGGGGGAGGAGGAAGGAGGAAGAGUGGCUUCAGUUUUUCAGUUUCAGUGACCCCAGUAAUUGAGAUGCUGAAUUGCACAUUUAAAUUGCUUGAAAGUAAAAAUAUUGUUUUGAAAUGCUGGUGUUAAUAAUGCAAACAUUAAAAAGGAAUUAAAUACUUAGCAGUAUUGUAGGGCAAGGUUGCCUCAUUUUUCUUCUUUUAACUUACCCAGAGGAAAUGAUUGGCUGCAAUACCCAUGCAUUACCAUAAAAAGUGGGUCUGGACCUGCGUCAUAGCUGUCGGUCAUAUGAUGCCCCCUGUAAAGGUGACUGCUAGCUUAGCUGGAGGAUGACACCCAACCAACUGAGCCACGCCAGCCAGGGUAACUCUUUCCAAUAGUGUGGAUUUUGGAAAGUUGAUGGUUUAGCCAUGGGAAUCCAGAAAUUGUAUAAGGCUCAAAUGAAAGGACUACUGACUUCUCAGGUCUGGUGCCUGCCUUGUAGAUACAUGCAAAUAUUUUAUUUGCCACCAUUCCCCACUGGGUUCCCUGAAGAAUUGCAGGAAAUUGGUGCACUGUUCUUACUGUAUUCUCUACUCACCCAUCAAUUGGAGCUACUGUACAGCAUGAUGUGCAGAAUAAAUAAACAGAAAGGGUAAUAAGGCACACCAAAUAAUCACUGUUGACCUCAGCAAUUUUAUUAACAAAUUUAUUUCCCUAAUUGGGUAACGUAUCUCAGUGCUUAACUCAAGGGCAUUGUAAUAGGUUUCCGCACUGUAGAACAAGGAAUUAAUUAGAACCAUUUGCUCUUUGUUCCAUACUUACUCUUGUCUCCUGGUCUUGUAAACAUUGCACCUGGUUUCCUCAGUCCUCCAGGCUCCUUCCUCACUUCUGAGCCCCCCCACCCCCCAAUAAAUAAAUAGAAAACUGAGAGUGUAGUUUAACAUCAGUGGCUCCUCCUCAUGCACAUUCCACCUCCACUGGAAAUUGCAUUUCAUGGUUAGAUUCAGAGCCUUUUCGAGGUCAGGUUCUGGCAGAAUCAUUGCUUCAGCAGGUACAUGGAAGUCUGUAAAGAGACCUUUCUCUCCACGGGCAAAAAUUGAGAACCUGGGGUAUUGGUUUGCCAGUGCUGUGUCUGGGAUUGUCCUUGCUCUCUCCGAACCUGGGUACAAAGCUGGUGAGAUGAUAGGUCUGUCCUACUUCAUCCUGUCCCACCUACAGUGCCUCUUAGGGAGGUAAGUGCCAUUCAUUACCCCUAUCUUCCCUGCCCUGGGAGCAGGCAGUUCUCUUCAACUUUUCAAGUAAGGUUUUUUGCCUUACAGCUAGGAAGGACUGCAGCAUGACAGCAAGAAAGCAUUUUUAAAUGCAAACACUGCAGGGUCUCACUGUAAUGCUGCCUCUGACUCAUGCACCCCUGCAAUCUGCUCCAAGGUGCUGUCCUUUCACACUGACUGUCCAGUCUGCAGUGGCCAGCAUUAGCACAAGAUGCCAGGUUGUGUGAAUUAUCUCCAGAGCUGAUUUCUUUAGCAGCUGUUAACAUAGCUUGCCAUGGAUAGUGAUGGCCUUUGGAUAUAGAUGUGGUUAUUACAAAGACAUCUAAAGGGUGUCUAGACUACCCUCACUAUCAGUGGGUCCCUUUUAAGAUU